GAUGGUGUUCGCCCGUGCGGGCCAGAGAGCUAUCAUGGGCGGCACGGCUCGCCCCUUCGUCCAGUGUGAGGUCUCGGCCGUCGGCCCCUUCGCCAAGGAAGAACACAAGAAAUGCCACGGAGAAGCCUUAAAGAAGUUCCUGUCGGACCAAUUGCACGUGCGUGAGGAAAGAGUCGCUAUUCUGUUGAAGAAUCUCGACCGCUCGGACGUCUACUAGUCGAAGAGAGCAACAUUUCCUGGAACCUACAAGAUGCAAUCUUAGUUCCCAGGCCACCGUGUCAUUAUGAUAGCCGUAAUGACCGCACAUUUUCUCCAGUUUAAACUAUAUAUGUUCCGCAUGCGUGCAAUUGCCUAUAUAUCAUAACGGCUGACAUCAACCCAUGCAAUAUGUAAUUUGUCUUAAACUUAUCUCAAAUUAUUCCGUCCACCUUCCAACGUUUAAAAGAUACUUGGUAUUUCAAAUGUUUCAUAAUAUAUGUGCGUAACAACAACAAAUUACGAGCAUACAUGUUACAUAAAAAUACUAACAACGAUAUGUAUUACGUAAUUAGAAUACGACAGUCAUUAACUCCAGAUUAGUUCUCACAAACUCCAUUUUGAACAAAGUAUGACAUUACCGCAUUUCUGCGUAACAAAGAAUAUGCCGAUAUUGUGACUCAGAUAAGAUACUAACGUUAUAUAUUAUAUUAUACUAUAUAAAUUAUAUGGUAAAUAAAUACUACCAAUAACUGUGA